UUGACGGGGAGCACCACAACGGGUGGAGCUUGCGGUUUAAUUGGAUUCAACGCCGAAAUCUUACCGGGACCGACAGCAAUAUGAAGGCCAGGCUGAAGACUUUGCCGGAUUAGCUGAGAGGUGGUGCAUGGCCGUCGUCAGUUCGUACUGUGAAGCAUCCUGUUAAGUCAGGCAACGAGCGAGACCCACGCCCACAGUUGCCAGCGUACUCUCUGGAGUGACGGGUACACUGUGGGACCGCCGCUGCUAAAGCGGAGGAAGGAAUGGGCAACGGUAGGUCAGUAUGCCCCGAAUAUCCCGGGCUACACGCGAGCUACAAUGGUUGGUACAAUGGGUAUCUACCCCGAAAGGGGACGGGAAUCUCCUAAAACCAAUCUUAGUUCGGAUUGAGGGCUGCAACUCGCCCUCAUGAAGCUGGAAUCCGUAGUAAUCGCGUUUCAACAGAACGCGGUGAAUACGUCCCUGCUCCUU
rnacentral:rRNA from 1 species